rnacentral:rRNA from 1 species
CCUACGGGUGGCAGCAGUAGGGAAUAUUGCUCAAUGGGGGAAACCCUGAAGCAGCAACGCCGCGUGGAGGAUGAAGGUUUUCGGAUUGUAAACUCCUUUUGUUAGAGAAGAUAAUGACGGUAUCUAACGAAUAAGCACCGGCUAACUCCGUGCCAGCAGCCGCGGUAAUACGGAGGGUGCACGCGUUACUCGGAAUCACUGGGCGUAAAGGGCGCGUAGGCGGGAUAGCAAGGCAGAUGUGAAAUCCUAUGGCUUAACCAUAGAACUGCAGUUGAAACUGUUAUUCUAGAGUAUGGGAGAGGUAGGUGGAAUUCUUGGUGUAGGGGUAAAAUCCGUAGAGAUCAAGAGGAAGACUCAUUGCGAAGGCGACCUGCUAGAACAUAACUGACGCUGAUGCGCGAAAGCGUGGGGAGCAAACAGGAUUAGAUACCCCAGUAGUC